GGUGGGUAUGGUGCAGUUGGUUAGCGCGCCAGAUUGUGGUUCUGGAUAUCGCCGGUUCGAGUCCGGCUAUCCACCU
rnacentral:tRNA from 1 species